GACGAACGCUGGCGGCGUGCUUAACACAUGCAAGUCGAGCGGUAAGGCCCUUUCGGGGGUACACGAGCGGCGAACGGGUGAGUAACACGUGGGUGACCUGCCCUCAGCUCUGGGAUAAGCCUGGGAAACCGGGUCUAAUACUGGAUAUGACUCCAUGACGCAUGUUGUGGGGUGGAAAGCCUUGUGCGGCUGAGGAUGGGCCCGCGGCCUAUCAGCUUGUUGGUGGGGUGANGGCCUACCAAGGCGACGACGGGUAGCCGGCCUGAGAGGGCGACCGGCCACACUGGGACUGAGACACGGCCCAGACCCCCUACGGGAGGCAGCAGUGGGGGAAUCUUGCGCAAUGGGCGAAAGCCUGACGCAGCGACGCCGCGUGAGGGAUGACGGCCUGUGU
rnacentral:rRNA from 1 species